AGAGCUCAAAUUUGUAAUCUGGCACCUUCGGUGUCCGAGUUGUAAUCUCGAGAAGUGUUUUCCGCGCCGGACCGCAUACAAGUCUGUUGGAAUACAGCGUCAUAGUGGUGAGAACCCCGUAACUGAUGCGGAUGCCCGGUGCUUUGUGAUACACUUUCGAAGAGUCGAGUUGUUUGGGAAUGCAGCUCAAAUUGGGUGGUAAAUUCCAUCUAAAGCUAAAUAUUGGCGAGAGACCGAUAGCGAACAAGUACCGUGAGGGAAAGAUGAAAAGCACUUUGGAAAGAGAGUUAACAGUACGUGAAAUUGUUGGAAGGGAAACGCUUGAAGUCAGACUUGCUAUUUGGAAUUCAGCCGCAAGGUGUACUUUUCAAUUCGCAGGCCAGCAUCAGUUUUCGGGGGUGGAAAAGGGUAGAGAGAAGGUAGCAAUUUCGGUUGUGUUAUAGCUCUUUGCUGGAUUCAUCCUUGGGGACUGAGGAACGCAGCACGCUUUUUGCAAGGCUUUCGAGCUUUUCGUGCUUAGGAUGCUGGUGGAAUGGCUUUAAACGACCCGUCUUGAAACACGGACC
rnacentral:rRNA from 1 species